rnacentral:rRNA from 1 species
CCUGGAAACAGAUGCUAAUACCGGAUAACAAUAGAUGAUGCCUAUCAACUGUUUAAAAGAUGGUUCUGCUAUCACUCUUGGAUGGACCUGCGGUGCAUUAGCUAGUUGGUAGGGUAACGGCCUACCAAGGCGAUGAUGCAUAGCCGAGUUGAGAGACUGAUCGGCCACAUUGGGACUGAGACACGGCCCAAACUCCUACGGGAGGCAGCAGCC